ACCAGACGUGGACGGGGAAAUGCUAAGUAUCGUUGGAACUCCGAAGUUACAACCAACUUGCUGGGCCGCGCCGGCCUGUGACACACGAACGCACGGGGGGUGCCCGGGAUUACGAACCCCGGUAGUCUGGCCCUAAAACGAUGUCAAUAGAUCCGCGGACUUUUGACGGUUUUCCGGUUGAAAGCAAAAGGGCUAAGUGGCCCGCUUGGGAAGUACGGUGGCAAGGGUAAAAAUUCAAAGGAAUUGACGGGGGCUCACCACAAGCGGUGGAGCAUGUGGUUCAAUUCGAAGCAACGCGCAGAACCUUACCUGGGCUUGACAUGCCAGGAUUAUCCCCAUGAAAGUGGGGUAGGCCCCGCAAGGGGUACAACUGGUACAGGUGCUGCAUGGCUGUCGUCAGCUCGUGUCGUGAGAUGUCGGGUUAAGUCCCUUAACGAGCGAAACCUUUGCCCUUAGUUACCAGCGGGUAGUGCCGGGGACUCUAAGGGGACUGCCGGUGUCAAACCGGAGGAAGGUGGAGAUGACGUCAAGUCCUCAUGGCCUUUAUGCCCAGGGCCACACACGUGCUACAAUGGGGUGCAUAGAGCGAACCGAGAGCGCAAGCUGGUGGAAAUCGCACAAAUCACCCCCCAGUUCAGAUCGGAGGCUGCAACUCGCCUCCGUGAAGUUGGAAUCGCUAGUAAUCGCGGAUCAGCUACGCCGCGGUGAAUGUGUUCCUGAGCCUUGUACACACCGCCCGUCAAGUCAUGGGAGCCGGGAAUAGCCGAAGUCGCCUCACCACUGGGGUGCCUACGCUAGGCUCGGUGACUGGGACUAAGUCGUAACAAGGUAAAUCGAAUUCCCGCGGCC
rnacentral:rRNA from 1 species